rnacentral:rRNA from 1 species
UUGAAAGGGAAACGAUUGAAGUCAGUCGUGCUGGCGCGAAAUCAACCUUCUCGUCUUGAGAUCACAUGGCGUGGCGAGCCUCAAAACCGUCACGAAGCGUGAACUCUUGGUGAAAUGGAGCACUUUUCGCGUCCGCUGGCUAACAUCAAUUUCGAACGUCAUAAAAAGGCUGGAGGGAUGUGGCUCCUUCGGGAGUGUUAUAACCUUUAGCGGAAUGUGGUGUUCGGGAUUGAGGAUUGCAACGAAUACCUUUAGGGCUGUUCCACCUGGCUUCUCUUUGGUAUCCUGGUGACGACAGCUUGCUGACGUCGUUAAGGAUGUUGACGUA